GCCUCAGUGGUGCAAUGGAUAAUGCAGCUGACUACAGAUCAGAAGAUUGUAGGUUUGACUCCUAUCUGGCU
rnacentral:tRNA from 1 species